UAGGGUGCGAGCGUUGUCCGGAAUUAUUGGGCGUAAAGGGCUCGUAGGCGGUUUGUCGCGUCGGGAGUGAAAACCUUGGGCUUAACUCAGGGCUUGCUUUCGAUACGGGCAGACUAGAGGUAUGCAGGGGAGAACGGAAUUCCUGGUGUAGCGGUGAAAUGCGCAGAUAUCAGGAGGAACACCGGUGGCGAAGGCGGUUCUCUGGGCAUGAUCUGACGCUGAGGAGCGAAAGUGUGGGGAGCGAACAGG
rnacentral:rRNA from 1 species